UGGACAGAUUAUUGUAUUCACGGCGUGAAACAGGGGAUUACACUGUUUUUAAACGGAAAGUGAAUCAAUUAACAUAAUAGACUUCU
rnacentral:pre_miRNA from 1 species